UCCCUAGUAGCUCAGUUGGUAAAGAAUCUGCCUACAAUGCAGAAGACACAGGUUCGAACCCUGGGUUGGGAC
rnacentral:tRNA from 1 species